rnacentral:rRNA from 1 species
GACGAACCGUGCAAACGUUAUUCGGAAUCACUGGGCUUAAAGGGCGCGUAGGCGGGUCCUCAAGUCAGGGGUGAAAUCCCACGGCUCAACCGUGGAAGUGCCUUUGAUACUGGGGGUCUCGAGGGAGGUAGGGGCGUGCGGAACUUCCGGUGGAGCGGUGAAAUGCGUAGAUAUCGGAAGGAACACCGGUGGCGAAAGCGGCGCGCUGGACCUCUUCUGACGCUGAGGCGCGAAAGCCAGGGGAGCAAACGGG